rnacentral:rRNA from 1 species
UACAGAGGUCCCAAGCGUUGUUCGGAUUCACUGGGCGUAAAGGGUGCGCAGGUGGGUUGGCAAGUUCGAUGUGAAAGCCCCGGGCUUAACCCGGGAAUGGCAUUGGAAACUGCUGAUCUGGAGGAUCGGAGGGGGGACUGGAAUUCCGGGUGGAGCGGUGAAAUGCGUAGAGAUCCGGAGGAACACCGACGGCGUAGGCAGCGCCCUGGCUGUGAAUAAAGCUGACACUGAGGCACGAAAGCUGGGGGAGCAAACAGG